rnacentral:rRNA from 1 species
GUGGGGAAUAUUGGUCAAUGGGCGGGAGCCUGAACCAGCCAAGUCGCGUGAAGGAAGAAGGAUCUAUGGUUCGUAAACUUCUUUUGCAGGGGAAUAAAGUGCAGGACGUGUCCUGUUUUGUAUGUACCCUGAGAAUAAGGAUCGGCUAACUCCGUGCCAGCAGCCGCGGUAAUACGGAGGAUCCGAGCGUUAUCCGGAUUUAUUGGGUUUAAAGGGUGCGGAGGUGGUUUGAUAAGUCAGCGGUGAAAGUUUGCAGCUUAACUGUAAAAAUGCCGUUGAAACUGUCGGACUUGAGUGUAAAUGAGGUAGGCGGAAUGCGUGGUGUAGCGGUGAAAUGCAUAGAUAUCACGCAGAACUCCGAUUGCGAAGGCAGCUUACUAUUUCGUAAUUGACGCUGAGGCACGAAAGCGUGGGUAGCGAACAGGAUUAGAUACCCGUGUAGUCC